CUGAGCUUGUGAGAGUUACAGCCUCCAACAAGUCAUGUCUGAUGGAGGACUGCACAAGUGUGCAAAGGUGUGUGAGCACUUGCAUUUGCACAUGGCUUGUAAAGCACAGAAGUCAGUGUAGUGGGAGCUGGGGGCCUGAGCAGAGGAAGAAGCCUAAAGGUGAAAUGAAAUUCGUUUAAGUUGCUUAAGUGAUCAGAAAAAGUUUUGCAAAAACUGAGUGUUUGGGUAUGCUCUUAGAAAUUAUCUUCACAGUCAAUUCACUCAUUAGUUAUGGAGAUGUCACCAGCACUCAGGUCAGAAAGCACAAAAGGAUACUAAAAUGAAAAAUAAAAAGGUACAAAUCAGCACACUUGAUCACACUCUGGAGGAACUCAACACUUACAGCUCAACUUAUAAAUAAGUAACCACAGCUGCAGCCCACUGACUCAGUGAGGCAUUGUCUCCCAGAGUGAAGGGAACCGGGGAAGAUAACAUGCUCCCGGAAGCACCCUCACAAAAAUGAGAUUUUUGUCCCAAAUGGCAAAAAUCAAUACAGCCAAAGACUUCCCAUGUAUUUUGAUGGUGGUGGUGGUGGUGGUGGUGGUGGUGGUGGUGGUGGUGGUCUGAGCAGAGAAUGACACACACUCUUAUGAUCAGUCUUUCUAUUAUGUACUGAGCGCUGCCAAUUCCUAGGCACUCCUUCCUAAAAGGGUGUAUUCCCAGCUACUCUUCUCUGUUCACACAAGUUCCUCAUAAAACAGCUCUACCACCAGCACACAAGGGCCUACAGGUAAAGGAGUAGCCUACACGUACACCAAGAAGGCUGACACAGAGACUCAGUGAAGUCCCUUCCCUGCCCUAGAGCCAGAUGUCAGAUGUAGACAUUUUCCCAUCAGGCUCUGGACAGGGCAGCAUUCAGACUAAGACCCCAUCCUAACUUAGUGUCAAGUUCUCCUCAGCCGAAGCCCAGCAUGGUGACAGUCCCCAGGGUACCCUGGAGAGCCUGCCUGGUGUGGGUGACUCAGUAAGUCCUUCCUCAGAACAUGUCUGCUCCACGAAGCCCACACACUAGCUGGAACACCUCCAGCUCCUCAGGCUCUAGGACUGGCACGCUGAGAUCACCCAACUGGCAAGAAUAUGUGAAAUGAUGACACCAACAGCUGCAUCUUCUGACUAGAAACAGUGCUAAGAAGUCACUGAAAGCAAAGCCCAGGAGGUUAACAUUCGUGAGCAAUUUCAAUUGUGGAAGAGAAAUGGGUUUUAAAAAAUGUGUAUCAUAAAAAUUCCUUUAGACCCUUUUCAUUCUGGAUAAUAGGAUUUAUUAAUUUGCUUGUUUGUUUGUUUAGGUUUUCUUUUUUCUUUUCUUGGCAAACAAAGUGGACUAACAGGUCAUUUAUCUCCUGUUCACAUUUUAGAUUUCAGCAUUCACAGUCAUCCUCCUUGCAAAAUUCAUAAAUUCAAACUGAAAACACAAUUAAUGGUUGGCCCCUAAACAGAAAUUCCAUGAAGCAGAAUCAGUAUCUAUUCUUGCUUAACAAAUAAUCCUCACUGCCUAUCAGCACCUGGCACACCACACCAGCAUUUCUUCCUCAUGGUUCUCACUGCAUUCCCAAGCAAGCUCGGUGCACAUUGCGUGGACACAUGCAUGACGUCAGGACAUGCAGGCCACUUGGCUAGUCCCCUCCACCACUAGCAUAGGGAAGCACAUGUCAGGCACUAUGUGACUGAUCUGGGCUGAUGGCCAAAUAAGCUUUCAUACCUUUUUUUUAAAUCCUGUUUCCUUAAGGAACAGGUCUCUCUUCAUUUCCUUCCAAAGGCAAACACUAGAUCCUAAAAAACAGGGAAUGCACCUCAUUUGAGACAUUCUCCUGAAUAACCACAUGAUGUGGUUACAGGGCAGAAAAAAGAAAAAUCUGGAGGGGACACAUUUGUGCCAAUGUACACAAAUACCCAAUUAUUACAAGAGGAUCCUUAUAAAUUGUUUCACAUCAAUACAGAUAUGGAGUUGGAACAAGUCACACCUUAUCUUUAUUAGAUGCUCUAUUAUUAAACUUUAUAAGAAUGUGACUGUGAUUACCUGGCCCUACUAAGGAUUAUGUGAAGACAAACAAAUUUGGUGCUAGUAAAAUUCUGAAAAACAGAAGUUUCAUAAAGAUAAGUACACUACUGGCUUCUGGGAAAGGAUAUGCACAUACAAAAAGCAACAACAGCUAACAUGCCUAAGGUGACAUCAUCUUCCAAACACUGGUUUUACCCUCACAACAACCCCCAUGCAAUAAAUCAGUGAUUCUCAGCCUUUUUCAUCUCAUGGUGCGCACACACACUAAUUACUAGAAAUCUGUGGCACACCAAAAACUGUUUUUGCCAAUAUGACCAAGAAGUUAUAAUUUUGAUUGAUUUA